GAACGCUGGCGGCGUGCUUAACACAUGCAAGUCGAACGGAAAGGCCCUGCUUGCAGGGUACUCGAGUGGCGAACGGGUGAGUAACACGUGGGUGAUCUGCCCUGCACUUCGGGAUAAGCCUGGGAAACUGGGUCUAAUACCGGAUAGGAGCCAUUUUUAGUGUGAUGGUUGGAAAGUUUUUUCGGUGUAGGAUGAGCUCGCGGCCUAUCAGCUUGUUGGUGGGGUAAUGGCCUACCAAGGCGGCGACGGGUAGCCGGCCUGAGAGGGUGGACGGCCACAUUGGGACUGAGAUACGGCCCAGACUCCUACGGGAGGCAGCAGUGGGGAAUAUUGCACAAGGGGCGCAAGCCUGAUGCAGCGACGCCGCGUGGGGGAUGACGGCCUUCGGGUUGUAAACUCCUUUCGCUAGGGACGAAGCUUUUUGUGACGGUACCUAGAUAAGAAGCACCGGCUAACUACGUG
rnacentral:rRNA from 1 species